AAACACUCUGGCUAGCAACCCGAAUGGAUCCAGCUCUUGCGUGAAUUGGAUGCUGGUGGAGAACGACAGAGGCCUCUAACCCACGAGGUUAUUCUGCAACUUCAGGUGGCCCUGGUACCUGGAGGAUGCACCUGUCACCCACCUGUCAUUCAAUGGACCAUAGGCCAAGGAGGUUCAAAUCAGUAACUGAGAUGUUCUACAAUAUCACAUUACCCACCGGGAAAACUAUAGAUGAGAGAUGUCGAUUCUGAGGAAAAACCGAAGAUGUAGAGACGAUAAAAAUAAGAAUU